AUUGAACGCUGGCGGCAGGCCUAACACAUGCAAGUCGAGCGGAUGAAGGGAGCUUGCUCCUGGAUUCAGCGGCGGACGGGUGGGUAAUGCCUAGGAAUCUGCCUGGUAGUGGGGGAUAACGUCCGGAAACGGGCGCUAAUACCGCAUACGUCCUGAGGGAGAAAGUGGGGGAUCUUCGGACCUCACGCUAUCAGAUGAGCCUAGGUCGGAUUAGCUAGUUGGUGGGGUAAAGGCCUACCAAGGCGACGAUCCGUAACUGGUCUGAGAGGAUGAUCAGUCACACUGGAACUGAGACACGGUCCAGACUCCUACGGGAGGCAGCAGUGGGGAAUAUUAGACAAUGGGCGAAAGCCUGAUCCAGCCAUGCCGCGUGUGUGAAGAAGGUCUUCGGAUUGUAAAGCACUUUAAGUUGGGAGGAAGGGCAGUAAGUUAAUACCUUGCUGUUUUGACGUUACCAACAGAAUAAGCACCGGCUAACUUCGUG
rnacentral:rRNA from 1 species